CUUUCUCUCUUCAGCGUCUCUCUCUCUCUCUCCCCCUCUACCUCUCCCUCUUCGCUGCUCCUCUCCCCUCCCUCUCUUACCGCUGCGCCUUUGCCCUUCCCCCUCGCAGUCACGGGCAACCGGAGCACCGAUUCACCUAGAUUUGCCCUAUUUUCUCUCUCUAAAAUCUCUCUAUAUUCGUAUAUUUGUCUAUCCAUCAAUAGCGAGACUGACGACAUGCCGGAGAUUGCGACAACGAUGAAUCAAGAAAAGGCGAGGAAACUAAAUGGAAUGCUUCUUAGUAUGAAGCUCUCCUCAAAGGAGGUGAACAGGUCACCUCUGUUCUUGAAGAGAUUGCCAAGCUUUAAACCUUGAAAAAUGGAGGGGACUGUAUUCAGCCCUGCUUUGGAGGGAAUGAAGAAUGUUAAGUCUGACAGAGGAGAACUAUUGACAGAGCCUUUCUUGGCUGUCUGCAAACACAUAUUGCCUCUUCUAGGUGUGAUUUUCUUUCCCUUUUGGUAAUUUUAGCUAGAGAAUAGCUUCAAUCAAGAAGAGUUUUCAUAGUUUGUUUUAUAGUUGCUCAAACCAUAUAGUUUUCAAUUGGAAUUUUCUAGAUUUUCUAUGAACUUGGAAGUAAUUUUCACAAACCAUAUAGUUUUUAAUUAGAAUUUUCUAGAUUUUGUGUGCACUUGGAAGUUAUUUUCAUAGUUUUAUGGGUGUUUGGCGGAAAUGCAAAACAGACUUCUGGGCAUUAAAAGUCCUUCCAAAGAUUUAAUGGUCACUUGGUGAGUUUAUGUACA